rnacentral:rRNA from 1 species
CCUACGGGAGGCAGCAGUAAGGAAUAUUGGGCAAUGGAGGCAACUCUGACCCAGCCAUGCCGCGUGAAGGAUGACUGCCCUAUGGGUUGUAAACUUCUUUUGUAUGGGAAUAAACCUCGGUACGUGUACCGAGCUGAAUGUACCAUAAGAAUAAGCAUCGGCUAACUCCGUGCCAGCAGCCGCGGUAAUACGGAGGAUGCAAGCGUUAUCCGGAUUUAUUGGGUUUAAAGGGUGCGUAGGCGGGAUUGUAAGUCAGUGGUGAAAUCCUUCAGCUCAACUGAAGAACUGCCAUUGAUACUGCAGACCUAGAGUACAUUUGAAGUGGGCGGAAUGUGUCAUGUAGCGGUGAAAUGCUUAGAGAUGACACAGAACACCAAUUGCGUAGGCAGCUCACUAAACUGUAACUGACGCUGAGGCACGAAAGCGUGGGGAUCAAACAGGAUUAGAUACCCUGGUAGUCCACGCCGUAAACUAUGAUCACUCGAUGUGNGAUACACUGUCNGCGUCUGAGNGAAGANAUAGUAGANCNCCGUGGAGGUACGGUCGCGAGACGUAGAACGUUACGAAGAAGUUAGGACGGCGNGGAGACGNGCCGACGGACGACGACGACGGGAGGUUAGG